GGCUCCAUAGUGUAGUAGUCAGUACGUCUGCUUUACACGCAGAAGGUCCAGGGUUUGCGCCCCAGGUGGAGCCA
rfam:Pteropus alecto contig6452, whole genome shotgun sequence.